UGAUUGGGGAAAAUCUGGCAUGCCUUACUCUUUCAUGGGGAGGCAGGGUUGUGUCGUGGGAAGACUAGCAGGUUUAAAAUUGUGCUGCAGAGAACUGUGGAAUUGGCGGGGAGGAUUAUGAUACCGUUCGUCGAUCUCUUUUAUAUUGCAACAUGUCUUUUGAAGCUCUCGUCAACGUGAAAAAGCAGCUAGAAAGAACUGGGUUUUCCGUGCAAAGCUGUGAACGAUAGUGGCCUAUGGUUGCAUGCAGGUUCUUUGAUCAGAUCUCUCUUUCCUUCUUGCAUGUUGCUGCACUUUGCAACUAAAAGUUGAUGAUGAACAUUUUAGGCUUCAAGUCAAGUUUCAGUAAUUUCACUAUGCCAUGUUUAUUAGCUACUUAGAAUGCAUGCUUCAUUGAAUUUCAAUCGUUCGAUUAUUGAUUUGGAAAGAUCUUCGGGAUCGUCAAAGUGUGGGUGCGAUGCUGAAUACUAGAAUAGAGCUUUGUGGGAGCAACUUUUGUGAUGAAAUAUUAGGAAGUGUUGCCUUUUAUUGGUUGCUUCCUUGGUUAUUUGAGAUGAUUGAUUAAAUGGCUAUUAUCUAGAUGCUUCUAAGCCGAUGGGUACAAGGAAUCGGUGCUGAUUCUUGCAAGAACUGCUGUCUUUUGAAUAUUUUGUGUGCCUGUGGACAGCCAUUUGGAUAUUCUCAUGGGGUAUCUGCGACUGGUUACUGCAUCCAAGAGCAAGAUCAGAACAAUCCAAACAACAUAGGAAGUGUAUUUGUCACUGAACCUGCUCAAGGUGAUGGUAAUGGUUUAUUUAGGCGAGUACGUGUGCAUGUCAGUGGACCCGAAGAUGGGUUGGGUGGUAUUGGACAUGGAAUUACUUUUGCGCCAGUAGAUGCUUAGCCACCAAUACGUAUGUCUUUUCAUGUGUGCCUUUUGGUGUCAGCAACAUAAAUUGCCCACAAACUCUUGCUAAUGACGCUUCAGAAGCCAGAGGUGACCAGGGUGGCGAUUUGUUGGGAGAUGGAGAUGGGUUGACAGCUCUGUUUGGGCUAAGCCAGGGAGGAAGUAAUGCAGCUAAUAACCACAGGGAUCUAACCGCAAGAGGUUAUGAGACAGAUCUCCAGAGUAAAUUGUCUGAAACUUCUGACCAAGUGGAAAUGCCGUCCCUGUGCAGAUGCUUGAUCAUACCGGUGAUGAUGUUGGAAUUCAAUGGGAUAGUACUAGUGGUUCCUCCAUCUCUUUGGAUAUGAAGACCCCUCUUGGUUAUUUUCCUCCUUUCUGUUUUGGUUCAUCUGGGGCAAGCUCGGGAUAUAAUAUGUAGAGGACUUCAUGCAACUCAUGCUUAGUUUCUGGUGGAAGUUGGUUUUUGCAGACUAUUGCUUGGUUUUGUCCACUGGUCGAAUUUGUGUUAGUUCAUAGGCUCAGUGAUGGCUAAGUCAAGCACUCGGCAGAAUUAUCUUAUGCAGGUUCAUUAUGAAAGGUGAGUGUCCAAGCUUUUAAUGAUGAAGACCCUCAAAAGUGCAGAAAACUCGGAUUCAUCGACGGAAGGCUGAAUGCCCUGAUUCCUUGGAAAGCUGAUCUGUCCAUCAAAAAGAUAAGUCGUGGUCUUCAUAAGUUUUAAACAGGGGCACUCUUUUGCCAAAGGCUCCAAAAGGAUGGGGUUGGCGAACAGCACUCUUAUUUGAUGAGCUCCCUGAUCUCCUUCAAAAUGGUGCCUUACAGGUCGCUGCUGUUGUGCAGCUCAUGUGAAAUGACACAAGAAAUGGUGGAUAACAUUGGUGCCAACGAUGGAAGCAUCAAGGAGCAAGACAGGCUACUCCCAAUAGCCAACGUGGGGCGGAUCAUGAAGCAAAUCGUCCCUCCCAACGCAAAAAUCUCAAAGGAAGCGAAAGAAACGAUGCAAGACUGUGUCUCAGAGUUCAUCGGCUUCGUGACCAGUGAAGCGUCUGAGAAGUGCCGGAGGGAGAGGAGGAAGACCGUGAAUGGCGAUGAUAUUUGCUGCGCUAUGGAGACACUGGGUUUCGACGAUUAUGCUGGUAUGCUAAGAAGGUAUUUGCAUAGAUAUAGGGAAUUAGAAGGAGAAAAGGCUAAUCAAGACAAGGCGAUGAACAACACUGAAAAGUAGCAAAUCAAACGGUGUUGAGCAAUCUUUGUCAUGUAGAAAUACUCUUAACAAUUUAGGAACAAUCAGGCUUCGACCUUCACCUUGGCAAACUUCUAAUAUGAUGAAAGGAGUGAUAGAUGAAUCUCAAGGCCAUGUUGAGAAUAUGAGGGAAGGUAUUAGGGCAAGCCAUAUUUAUCAAGUUUCUAGCUUUAAUCAUGAUGACAUU